CACAGCCGCUGGGGGCGUCACUGCACUGAGAGUCCCAGAUAGACGGGACAACCCUUGGAACCUGACCCGGAUCAUGCCGGCGUAGGGAAGCGGUGUCGCAGGGCA
rnacentral:ncRNA from 2 species